rnacentral:pre_miRNA from 1 species
AUCGCGGACACUCAUAGUAGAAGAGAGAUAGCACAACCUCCACAUUAUCAAUAUUACUGCUUACUUCUUUAUAGGGGAAGAAUAUUUUCAGGAGAGGUUGUGCUCUCUUUCUUCUUCUGUUGGUCUUCGUGAU